UAAUACGUAAGGGGCAAGCGUUGUCCGGAAUCACUGGGCGUAAAGCGCGCGUAGGCGGUUUAGUAAGUCGGGUGUGAAAUCCUCGGGCUUAACCCGAGAACUGCGCCCGAAACUGCUUCACUGGAGGGACGGAGAGGUGCAUAGAAUUCCCGGUGUAGGGGUGAAAUCCAUAGAGAUCGGGAGGAAUACCAAUGGCGAAGGCAGUGCACUGGACGUCACCUGACGCUGAGGUGCGAAAGCGUGGGGAGCGAACGGGAUUAGAUACCCCGGUAGUCCACGCCGUAAACGAUGGGUACUAGGUUUGGGAGGCUUCGACCCCUUCCGAGCCGUCGCUAACGCAUUAAGUACCCCGCCUGGGGAGUACGACCGCAAGGUUA
rnacentral:rRNA from 1 species